UACGAAGGGGGCUAGCGUUGUUCGGAAUCACUGGGCGUAAGGGGCGCGUAGGCGGCUUUGUAAGUCGGGGGUGAAAGCCUGUGGCUCAACCACAGAAUUGCCUUCGAUACUGCAUGGCUUGAGACCGGAAGAGGUAAGUGGAACUGCGAGUGUAGAGGUGAAAUUCGUAGAUAUUCGCAAGAACACCAGUGGCGAAGGCGGCUUACUGGUCCGGUUCUGACGCUGAGGCGCGAAAGCGUGGGGAGCAAACAGG
rnacentral:rRNA from 1 species